CAUGUCCUUUGCCUGAAACUGGGUAUUUUAUUCCUCAGAAUGAAAGAGGAGACUCGAACUUCUAAACAUAAAUUGUGUUUGAAAAUAUUGGAGCUUCCUUAUCCUACCAUAAAACACUCAGUUUAAAAUGAGCAGUUUUAAGAUACUUGGUUUUGUUCCAACUAAUACCUCUCCUGCCUUUUUUUUUGUCAAUUUAUUUUUGUUAUUAAAAUUUCUUCUGCUGUUGGCACCCCCAGAACAAUAUAUUCUUCAAUAGUUUAAAGGAGCUGCUUCCUCACUGGGAUGUGGCCCCUUCUUCCUUCUUUUAAUUACAGCGUUAUUAAACUCCUCCAGGUUGACACUUUCUUUCAUUCUCUAUUUUAGAUUUGUCAAUCAGAGGUGCUCCAUGAAGCAGCUCCUUAGUGCUGGGGGAAAUGCAAAGCCAUGGCGUGUCACUGUGGGUGCAAACCUGCUUCUGGAGCUGUGACAUUCUUGGGGAGGGAGGGCUGUGAAGGGUCAUCUUGGAGGGCCCACCCCUGCAUCUCACCUGUGAGCCAUCCUUCUCAGAGGAUGAGAGAGUGGAUAAGAGCUCAGGAGUUGCAAGGGAGCAUUGCGGGAGCACUGUGCAUCAUAAGAGGGGAGGAUGAAACCGACAAAGACGGGCACCUGGCAGGGAGUGCUAGUAAACUGAGGCGUGGAAUACAGAAACAAUCCUCCCCCGAAGAACUUUUGAAAAUAUUGUACAGACCCAGGGCACCCUCCCUGACCUACAGAAGCCAAAACCCCAGUGUGGGAGCACAGUAUGUACGUUUAGAAAAGUUUUCAUAUGGCCGGGCUCAGUGGCUCAUGCCUAUAAU